ACUGGAAUGGAUUUAAAUGAUUCUGGUUAAUUUUUUACUGUGGUCGAAGAACCGUGAGCCUUUUCCUAGGAGGACAGGCACUUAUUCCUCGCACAGGUUUCAACAAGAACAUUACGAGCUGCCUGCCUGGCCCACUGGUACAUCGGAGCCCAACGUGCCUCACAUACAUGGUCUCUGCGGAGAGAACAACCUCGGUUCAGCUCCUGCCUCCCACACUUAAUCUACGGGAACUUCUGUUUACCAUCUUUAGGGUAGUGGUAAUACUAAUUCUUUCUGCAAGGACCGUUGCAACAAUUCAAUAAGACCACGGAUGUGUGAGGGCUUCUUCAAGGAAGCCAGAGGGAGGGCCAGUGUGGCCACCGAGGCUCCUGUCUGUGGGUGGACACCAGCACAGGGGAAGCAGACGUGUUCCUGCCAUUGUCAGAUACAAGGCUGCAGUUAGGGGGUCCUGCCUAGUCCACUGGCUUGCUCUGAGCAGCUGUUCUUAUUGAAGCACGUGCCCAGGAGACGGCUUUAUUUCCCUCCCUCUCUCUGUUGUUAAGCAGUUCAAAAGUCACUGAGAGGUCAAGUCCUGAAGGCUAUGUACAAAGAACGACUCUCCUGAAAAGAUGGCCCCUGCUUCCCACAGCCCCACCGCUGAAGUCAGUGUUUGUGUUGGAGAAUAAUUAAAGCUGAUCACG
rnacentral:lncRNA from 1 species